rnacentral:rRNA from 1 species
UACGUAGGGUGCGAGCGUUAAUCGGAAUUACUGGGCGUAAAGCGUGCGCAGGCGGCUUUGCAAGACAGAUGUGAAAUCCCCGGGCUCAACCUGGGAACUGCAUUUGUGACUGCAAGGCUAGAGUACGGUAGAGGGUGGUGGAAUUCCGCGUGUAGCAGUGAAAUGCGUAGAUAUGCGGAGGAACACCAAUGGCGAAGGCAAUCCCCUGGGCCUGCACUGACGCUCAUGCACGAAAGCGUGGGGAGCAAACAGG